rnacentral:rRNA from 2 species
CGGCGAGUGAAGCGGCAAUAGCUCAAAUUUGAAAGCUGGCGUCUUCGACGUCCGCGUUGUAAUUUGUAGAGGAUGCUUCGGCGAGGACUCCUGCCUAAGUCCCCUGGAACGGGGCGUCACAGAGGGUGAGAAUCCCGUAUGUGGCGGGCGGUCCAAGCCAUGUGAAGCUCCUUCGACGAGUCGAGUUGUUUGGGAAUGCAGCUCUAAAUGGGAGGUAAAUUUCUUCUAAAGCUAAAUAUUGGCCAGAGACCGAUAGCGCACAAGUAGAGUGAUCGAAAGAUGAAAAGCACUUUGGAAAGAGAGUUAAAAAGUACGUGAAAUUGUUGAAAGGGAAGCGCUUGCAACCAGACUCGCUCGCAGUUGCUCAGCCGGCCUCUUGGCCGGUGUACUCUUCUGCGAUCGGGCCAGCAUCAGUUCGGGCGGCUGGAUAAAGGUGUCGGGAAUGUAGCACCCUUCGGGGUGUGUUAUAGCCCGGCGCGGAAUGCGGCCAGCCUGGACUGAGGAUCUCGCUUCGGCAAGGAUGCUGGCGUAAUGGUUGUAAGCGGCCCGUCUUGAAACACGGACCAAGGAGUCUAACAUCUAUGCGAGUGUUUGGGUGUCAAACCCAUGCGCGUAAUGAAAGUGAACGGAGGUGGGAACCCUUCACGGGGUGCACCAUCGACCGAUCCUGAUGUCUUCGGAUGGAUUUGAGUAAGAGCAUAGCUGUUGGGACCCGAAAGAUGGUGAACUAUGCCUGAAUAGGGUGAAGCCAGAGGAAACUCUG